GGGGUUGUGGCUCAGCGGUAGAGCAUGCGCCUAGCUUGUGCAAGUUCCUGGGUUCAAACCUCAGCACCACA
rnacentral:tRNA from 1 species